rnacentral:rRNA from 1 species
GACGAACGCUGGCGGCGUGCUUAACACAUGCAAGUCGAACGGAAAGGCCCUGCUUUUGUGGGGUGCUCGAGUGGCGAACGUGUGAGUAACACGUGAGUAACCUGCCCUUUACUUUGGGAUAACUUCAGGAAACUGGGGCUAAUACCGGAUAGGAGCUCCUUCUGCUUUGUGGGGGUUGGAAAGUUUCGUCGGUUGGGGAUGGACUCGCUGGUUAUCAGCUUGUUUGUGGGGUAGUGGCUUACCAAGGCUUUGACGGGUAGCCGGCAUGAGAGGGUGACCGGCGACAUUGGGACUGAGAGACGGCACAGAAUAAAACGGGAGGGAGCAGUGGGGAAGAUAGAAAAAUGGGAGGAAGCAUGAUGAAGAAAAGCAGCGAGAGGGAUGAAGGCCUACGGGUUGAAAAAAGAUGUAGAAUGUGAAGAAGAGAGAGUGACGGUAAUGGGUAAAGAAGCACCGGCUAACUACGUG